rnacentral:rRNA from 1 species
GACGAACGCUGGCGGCGUGCUUAACACAUGCAAGUCGAACGGAAAGGCCCUGCUUUUGUUGGGUUCUCGAUUGGCGAACGGGUGAGUAACACGUGUGUAUCCUGCCCUUGACUUUGUGAUAACUUCACGAAACUGGGGCUAAUACCGGAUAGGAUCUCCUGCUGCAUGGUGGGCGUUGGAGAGUUACGGCGGUUGGGGCUGGACUAGCGGCUUAUCAGCUUGUUUGUGUGGUAGUGGAUGACGAAGGCUUUGACGGGUAGCCGGCCUGAGAGGGUGACCGGCCACCUUAGGACUGCGAGACGGACCAGAAUGCUACGGGACGCAGUAGUGGGGAAUAUUGCACAAUGGGCGGAAGCCUGAGGCAGCAACGCCGCGUGCGGGAUGACGGCCUUCGGGUUGUAAACAGAUUUCGAAGGUGACGAAGCGUGAGUGACGGUAAUGGGUAAAGAAGCCCCGGCUAACUACGUG